GACGAACGCNGGCGGCGUGCCUAAUACAUGCAAGUAGAACGCUGAAGAGAGGAGCUUGCCCUUCUUGGAUGAGUUGCGAACGGGUGAGUAACGCGUAGGUAACCUGCCUGGUAGCGGGGGAUAACUAUUGGAAACGAUAGCUAAUACCGCAUAAAAUUGAUUAUUGCAUGAUAAUUAAUUGAAAGAUGCAAUUGCAUCACUACCAGAUGGACCUGCGUUGUAUUAGCUAGUUGGUGAGGUAACGGCUCACCAAGGCGACGAUACAUAGCCGACCUGAGAGGGUGAUCGGCCACACUGGGACUGAGACACGGCCCAGACUCCUACGGGAGGCAGCAGUAGGGAAUCUUCGGCAAUGGGGGGAACCCUGACCGAGCAACGCCGCGUGAGUGAAGAAGGUUUUCGGAUCGUAAAGCUCUGUUGUAAGAGAAGAACGGGUGUGAGAGNGGAAAGUCCACACNGNGACGGU
rnacentral:rRNA from 1 species